GGAGAGAUGGCCGAGCGGCUGAAGGCGCUCCCCUGCUAAGGGAGUAUAGGGCUAAUAACUCUAUCGAGGGUUCGAAUCCCUCUCUCUCCGCCA
rnacentral:tRNA from 1 species